GAGGGGAUAGCUCAGUGGUGGAACGCUUACUUAGCAUGCACGAGGUCCUGGGUUCAAUCCCCAGUACCCCCA
rnacentral:tRNA from 1 species